rnacentral:tRNA from 1 species
GGUCCCGCAGUGUAGUGGUUAGCACUCAGGGCUUUGAAUCCUGCGGUGGGGGUUUAGAUCUCCCCAAAACCU